GACCUUCGGGUCUAGUGGCGCACGGGUGCGUAACGCGUGGAACUGCCUUUAGGUUCGGAAUAACUCAGAGAAAUUUGAGCUAAUACCGGAUAAUGUCUUCGGAACCAAAGAUUUAUCGCCUUUAGAUGGGCCCGCGUUGGAUUAGCUAGUUGGUGGGGUAAAGGCCUACCAAGGCGACGAUCCAUAGCUGGUCUGAGAGGAUGAUCAGCCACACUGGGACUGAGACACGGCCCAGACUCCUACGGGAGGCAGCAGUGGGGAAUAUUGGACAAUGGGCGAAAGCCUGAUCCAGCAAUGCCGCGUGAGUGAUGAAGGCCUUAGGGUUGUAAAGCUCUUUUACCCGAGAUGAUAAUGACAGUAUCGGGAGAAUAAGCUCCGGCUAACUCCGUG
rnacentral:rRNA from 1 species